AUGAGAUUGCACUGCUCUGAUAAAUAUAAUUAUCAUUUGCUUUUGCUAAUCUUUUUAAUAAGUGGAAAUUCAGUGUGGCUGUUGCUUACAGCACAUAAUGUGCCAUAACUAAUCAAAGGGAGAAGAAAAGGUAUAAAAAGGAAGUGGAGAAAGUGAGAAUAAACUUAGGUCCGUUAGGAGUUACAUUUCAGGUAAUUAGUUGCAAAAGUAGAAAUAAUUGAGAGCACUUUGGAACCGCAAAGUGUAAAAAGUGGGGACAAGGGGUACUACAGGUGUUGGAAUGAAAAGAAUGUUUUUAAGAGCAUUUUUUAUAUUUUUGUGGGCAUGUUUAAUGGAAGAAAGAGACUGAAAGUAAAAUUAGAGAUUAAAAAGAUCCAUUAUCAUCUAUAGGACCUACUAGAAUGAUAAAAUAAUAAAGUGAGCAAUGAUACCUUUUUCUGGUGUUCUAAUUAUGUAUAAUAACAUAAUAAUAAUAUAACUGUGUCAUUUAAACAGUAAGCCACUGGAAUAUUAUCUUUUCCUGAAUCCUUCUUCAUCUCCUGGAGAAAUCCCACUCUGACAGUCUCACAGGGAAGCAAUGGUAUGUGCCAGCUGCCUUUCUAGAUCUCUUUGGCACUGCCAAAUGGCUCAUGUAACAACUGAGCUGUACCCACUGCUCGUCGAGGACAUUAAUUUGACCCACCCUUCUCUGCAUGAAUGCCAGCUCUCAUUUGAGCUGCGUGGGUGUAGUUAUCCCUCAGGCUUUUUAACUCCUGUUUCAAAUUGCCUGAUGAGUUCAGAAGUUAUCAGGGACAGAUUCAUAGGCUGAGAUAAAAAUACAGAAAGCAGUUGUAUUCUGAAAUGAGGAUACAGCUAUUGUAUGGAUAUUUUGUGAGGUGUCUGCUGCUUACCAGAAAGUGUUCAUCCCAGAACUGUGGAAAGCAACAGGUGGAUGAGGAGUUGGGUGUGAAGUGCUCGGCCGCCGUGCUGUGCUCAGAGGAGGAGGAGGAGGAGGGAGGAAGUGUCAGCUCCUGCUUCUUUUCUGCAAACGUUGUCACACAGCUGAAGCAGACAGAACACCUCGCAGCCAUGUUAGCAUUAAUUUUGAAAAAAUAAGCAACUCUGCCAGUUUAAUUCUCUCUUGUCAGAUACAAAUAAAAUCUGCUUUAAACUGAAAUCUCAAGGCGGGGGAUGGAGGGGAAGGUGAGAUGAGCAGAUGAUAUUUAUGCAGUUCUUUGGUGUUACUCUGUGGAUGUGAGCAGUCUGCACAGUCACUCCCUGCUGAAGCUGAUGGAACCUGGCCAGCCAGCAGCCAACACAACAUUUGCUGGUACCUGAUAGAAACCAUCCUGCACAGAGAUGCAGGACAGAGCCAUGGAGAUCACAGCUGUAGGAGCAAGAUAGAGCAUGGAAGAAAGCAAGGCAGGCUCAAACACUGAACAGUUGUGGAUCUUUAGAACCCAGCUGUGCCACGUAGGUAUUCUCAUUUUUAUUCCAGCAACUGACGACAUCACAGGGCAUGCUUUUUCUAGAAAUCUCUUAUGUCCAAACCCUUCCAGAUAUUAACAGAUGGCUGUAUUUCUGCAAAACAAGGCAGAGGUCCUGGAGAUUUGUAAAGGUAUACUCUAUAUACAGAACCCUAGUGUUUUAUGAGGCUUUACUACAAAUUGUAGAAAAAUGCUCUCAGUUAGGCUCCAAACUUUGAAGUCUGUCUUUUGUCCUGUAUUGAUACUUCCUGAAGAAGAAAGCAAUCUCAGAUGUUUCUAAAUGUUACAAUACAUGCAGAAAUAUUUUUCUUUCUCAACUGAAGAAGAUAAUCACAUUUUAUCAAAACUAAAAUGUAUUUAAAAUAGCUAAGUGAAAAUCUGUCUGAAGCAGUCUUUCCCUAGUUAUUGGAAAUAUCUCCAGUAGGUAAGAAUCCUUUCACCUGUACUUUUUUAUCAGAGAUUGCGUGUCUAUUCUCUUAACUUUCUCCGGCCAAAAGAU